CCGAACUGGAGCAGCUCAGGGAGGCAGAGAGGUUUCUGGAUGAGACCCUCAGGGAUAUGAUAGAGGAAAUGGCCUAACCCCUAAAUGCCUGCCUGGAGAUGGUAACGGGCUGGAUGAGUGAGAACACACUGAGGCUGAAACCAAACAAGACGGAAAUACUCAUUGUGGGAGAUCAAGACAUAGGAAGUGGUUUAGAUCUGCCUGUUCUGGAUGGGAUCGCACUCCAACGGAAAGAGCAGGCUUCAUCUGUUUAUCUCCCUGGAGUUCCUGGGUGGCGAGGGAGUAAGGAGGCAGCCAAUUCAACAAACAACUGCUUAUGUGCCCACCAUGUACUCAAGCCAUUGCACAAUUCCCAGCAGAAAUUUAAUCUCCAAAGACAAACAGGAAUCUACAAAGAUAAUUUAUUUUCAGAUUUUUGCAUUGAGGUGAAACUCCAUGGUGAGUGGCAGACAGGCCCUACAAAAGCCAAACACUCUUCCCUCUGAUGCAUCAAAAUGGGGCAAUAUAGGGGUCAUAGACAAUUUAAUCUGGGCAACAUUGAGGUGUCCAACCUUUUUUAUAUGGAGAUUCCCCAUAUCAAGAAAACCCAAAGGUUCUAAACCUUCCCAAGUGUAACCAAGACAAAACAAAGGCAUUCAAGUCUGCCCAUCAGGCAGCUCAUCAACUGUCCUCGAGCUUUGGGCAAAAAAGACCAAAGAUCAAAAAAUGGAAGACCAGAGUUCUGUGGAAUCACAGCUUACUUUAGCAAGCAAGCUAUAAAGCACACUGGAAACUAAGAAUCUCUGGAAAGGAAUAAGAAAGCAGAAAAAUAACUUUUCAAGUACCAUCCCAAUGAUCCCCAAACACUGAGUCAACAAAGAAAUGGGCCACUUAUUGACAAGGGUUGGCACUCAGGCUCCUGCCAACUAUAAGGAGAUGGUCUGAAAGUAACUCAGGCCUCUUGGACAAACUUUCUGCACCUCCCAAAGAGGCAUUCUACAUAUUUUGAAAAUCACUGCUUCUCUGAAAA